rnacentral:rRNA from 1 species
UACAGAGGGGGCAAGCGUUGUUCGGAAUUACUGGGCGUAAAGGGCGCGUAGGCGGCCUGUUAAGUCGAACGUGAAAUCCCCGGGCUCAACCCGGGAACUGCGUCCGAUACUGGCAGGCUUGAAUCCGGGAGAGGGAUGCGGAAUUCCAGGUGUAGCGGUGAAAUGCGUAGAUAUCUGGAGGAACACCGGUGGCGAAGGCGGCAUCCUGGACCAACACUGACGCUGAGGAGCGAAAGCCAGGGGGAGCAAACGGG